GCCUUAUGUCUACACACCAGAGGUGUAUCCUACCACGACAAGGGCUCUGGGAAUAGGCACGUGCAGUGCUGUAGCGAACGUGGGAGUCAUUCUCACACCUUUCGUCGCGCAGGUAAUGUUGAAGUACUCGGUGCACCUGACUGUAUCGGUGUACGGGAGCAUCUGUCUACUGGCUGCUGGUGCCAGUUUGCUGCUUCCCAUAGAGACCAAGGGACGGAGCAUGCAAGAAACUGGACAGGAGAAACUC